rnacentral:rRNA from 1 species
GAUGAACGCUGGCGGCGUGCCUAAUACAUGCAAGUCGAGCGAACAGACGAGGAGCUUGCUCCUCUGACGUUAGCGGCGGACGGGUGAGUAACACGUGGAUAACCUACCUAUAAGACUGGGAUAACUUCGGGAAACCGGAGCUAAUACCGGAUAAUAUAUUGAACCGCAUGGUUCAAUAGUGAAAGACGGUUUUGCUGUCACUUAUAGAUGGAUCCGCGCCGCAUUAGCUAGUUGGUAAGGUAACGGCUUACCAAGGCGACGAUGCGUAGCCGACCUGAGAGGGUGAUCGGCCACACUGGAACUGAGACACGGUCCAGACUCCUACGGGAAGCAGCAGUGGGGAAUAUUGGACAAUGGGGGAAACCCUGAUCCAGCAACGCCGCGUGAGUGAAGAAGUAUUUCGGUAUGUAAAGCUCUAUCAGCAGGGAAGAAAAUGACGGUACCUGACUAAGAAGCCCCGGCUAACUACGUG